rnacentral:rRNA from 1 species
AUACAUGCAAGUCGAACGCGUCUCCGUUAAUGAUUUUAGGUGCUUGCACUUGAAAGAUUUAACAUUGAGACGAGUGGCGAACUGGUGAGUAACACGUGGGUAACCUGCCCUUGAAGUAGGGGAUAACACUUGGAAACAGGUGCUAAUACCGUAUAACAACCAAAACCACCUGGUUUUGGUUUAAAAGACGGCUUCGGCUGUCACUUUAGGAUGGACCCGCGGCGUAUUAGCUUGUUGGUAAGGUAACGGCUUACCAAGGCGAUGAUACGUAGCCGACCUGAGAGGGUAAUCGGCCACAUUGGGACUGAGACACGGCCCAAACUCCUACGGGAGGCAGCAGUAGGGAAUCUUCCACAAUGGACGAAAGUCUGAUGGAGCAACGCCGCGUGAGUGAUGAAGGGUUUCGGCUCGUAAAACUCUGUUGUUGGAGAAGAACAGGUGUCAGAGUAACUGUUGACAUCUUGACGGUAUCCAACCAGAAAGCCACGGCUAACUACGUGCCAGCAGCCGCGGUAAUACGUAGGUGGCAAGCGUUGUCCGGAUUUAUUGGGCGUAAAGCGAGCGCAGGCGGUUUUUUAGGUCUGAUGUGAAAGCCUUCGGCUUAACCGGAGAAGUGCAUCGGAAACCGGGAGACUUGAGUGCAGAAGAGGACAGUGGAACUCCAUGUGUAGCGGUGAAAUGCGUAGAUAUAUGGAAGAACACCAGUGGCGAAGGCGGCUG